CAGUAGCCGCGGUAACACGAAGGGGGCUAGCGUUGUUCGGAAUUACUGGGCGUAAAGGGCGCGUAGGCGGCCAUUCAAGUUAGAUGUGAAAGCCCUGGGCUCAACCUAGGAAUUGCAUUUGAUACUGUUUGGCUUGAGUUCGGGAGAGGUGAGUGGAAUUCCCAGUGUAGAGGUGAAAUUCGUAGAUAUUGGGAAGAACACCAGUGGCGAAGGCGGCUCACUGGACCGACACUGACGCUGAGGCGCGAAAGCGUGGGGAGCAAACAGGAUUAGAUACCCCUGUAGUCCCUGUCUCUUAUAC
rnacentral:rRNA from 1 species